rnacentral:lncRNA from 1 species
CGCAACCAUUCAAACGUCCAUUCUUUCACGUUCUGAAACACUUUAUACUGGUUAGUCUCUUAUUAACUGUGAACCAGUGGACAGUUCAGAGAUCUGACUGCAUGGAGUAUAGAUCUGAGAGGAGUCCAUGGAGCAUAGUGGGUGGAAGUAGGUAUAAAAGAAAGAAAAUUUGGCUUAUGCUGUGAGAUUUGGGCCCAUAAAAUAGAAAGAGGUCUGUGUGUCAUGAAGAAGAGGGAAGGGUCUGGAGUAAGCAGGUUUGGGAUUAUUUUUCCAGUUUUAUGUUUCUGUGAGACUACGUUUUCUGUUGUACAUAGCCCUGCCUUUCCUCUCCUCAGCCUCCCCUAUGAACUUCUGCCAGCUUUCCACCAACAUCAGAGCAAAAGCCUUUGCAGCCUAUCUCAGAAGAUACUCUGUUUAACCCAUCCACUGUUUCUGCGUCCUUUAUUGACAAACUCCCAAAGAAAUCAUGUUUUCCAUCUCAGGAGCCGGGCAGGUGUAUGUACAGGCACCCCAAAUGAGGCAGGUCCCCAAAAGAAGGCCACAAGAGGAGCCACACCUUUGCUGCUUCUAAGUCACCGCAGCUCAUUCUGGAAACAGAUGGGAAAAAGUGCAUGUGUCACUGAAAGCUGAACUUUGAGAUUAAGGAAUAUUUCAUUUCAUAAGCGAAGCUCACAGACUAACCCUUGGCUGCUGCUACUGUAUGUACCUUUUGCCUGGCGACCUUCCCACCCUACCUUGCUGGAUAUGAGGGGAGAUUCAGGAGGCCAGUGGUGGCACCCACCAUGAAGGAUACCAUGGAUAGCUGGAUAAAGGUGGGCACCAAAGAAAUGCUUUUCCUUUCUGGAACUCCAGGCACAUUCUUCUUAUCUCCCUGACUCUCAGCCCACCUUCUUGAUCAGUUUCAACUGGCCUGGGAGACUCCUGGCCUUGGGCACCAAGCCCCAUUGUAUCUACUGUCCAGCCCUUGCUUUGCUGUCCAUAUCUUGGAUGUGUGACCAUGAUCUUGACCAGGCUCUCAUGACAAAUGACAAUAUGGUUGUUUCCAGUUAUUUUUCUGUUAUAAACAACAAAUAUAUUCU